CAUAGCUCUUAAGAUUCUUUCCUUUGUCUUGACUUUAGAUAACCUGAUGACUAUGUGCCUAGGCAAUGAUUUUUUUUGCAAUGAAUUUCCCAGGUGUUCGUUGAGCUUCUUGUGUUUGGAUGUCCAGAUCUCUAGCAAGGCUGGGGAAGUUUUCCUCGAUUAUUUCCUCAAAUAUGUUUUCCAGACUUUUAGAUUUCUCUUAUUCCUCCAGAACACCAAUUAUUCUUAGGUUUGAACACUUAAUAUAGUCCCAAACUUCUUGGAGGCUUUUUUUAAAAUUCUUUUUUCUUUAUUUUUGAUGGAUUGGGUUAAUUGAAAAACCUUGUCUUUGAGCCCUGAGGUUCUUUCUUCUGCUCGUUCGAUUCUAUUUCUGAGAUGUUCCGGUGCAUUUUGCAUUUCUCUAAUGUGUCCUUGAUUUCCAGAAGUUGUGAUUGUUUUUUAUUUAUGCUAUCUGUUUCACUGAAGAUUUUUCCCUUCAUAUAUUGCAUCUUUUUCUGAUUUUAUUAAAUUGGACUUCACCUUUCUCUGAUGCCUCCUUGAUUAGCUUAAUAAUUGACCGUCUGAAUUCUUCGGUAAUUCAGAGACUUCUUCUUGGUUUAGAUCCAUUGCUGGUGAGCUAGUGUGAUCUUUUAGGGGUGUUAAAGAACCUUGACUUGUGAUAUUACCAGAAUCAUUUUUCUGGUUCCUUCUAAUUUGGGUAGACUAUGUCAGAGGGAAGAUCUGGGGUUCAAGGGCUGCUGUUCAGAUUCUUUUGUCCCACAGGAUGCUCCCUUGAUGUAGUGUUCUCCCCCUUCCCAUAGGGAUGUGGCUUCCUGGGAGCUGAAUUAUAGUAACUGUUAUUUCUCUUCUGGAUCUAUCCACCCGGCAGAGUUACUGAGCUCCAGGCUGGUACUGAUGGGUGUCUACACAGAGUCCUGUGGUGUGAACAGUCUUCAUGUCUGUCACCCAUGGAUACCAGCAACUCCUCCAGUGGAGGUGGCAAGGGGGUUAAAUGGACUCUGUGAGGGUACUUAGUUUGUAGUUUUGCUUACUAUACUAGUUUUGUGCUGGUUGGCCUCCUGACAGGAAGUGGGGCUUUUUUUUUUUUUUUUUUUUUUUGAGACGGAGUCUCACUCUCUUGUCCAGGCUGGAGUGUAAUGGCACAAUCUCGGCUCACUGCAACAUCCGCCUCCCGGGUUCAAGCAAUUUUCCUGCCUCAGCUUCCCAAGUAGCUGGGAUUACAGGUGCCUGCCACCAAGCCCGGCUAAGUUUUGUAUUUUUAGUAGAGAUGGGGUUUCACCAUGCUGCCCAGGCUGGUCCCGACCUCAGGCGAUCCGCCUGCUGGGAUUACAGGCGUGAGCCAUGGAGCCUGGCCCAGGUGGAGCUUUUAAGAGAGCAUCAGCUGCGGUAGUAUAGGAAGGAUCAGGCAGUGGGCAGGGCCCUAGAGCUCCCAAGAGAUUAUGUGUUUUGGCUUCUGGCUACCAGGGCAAGCAGAGAAAGAUCAUCAGAUGGGGGCAGGGUUAGGUGUGUCUGAGCUCAGACUCUCCUUGGAUGAGGCUUGCUAUGGCUGCUGUGGGGGAUGGAGGCAUGGUUCCCAGGCCAAUGGAGUAAUGUUCCCAGGGGGAUUAUGGCCGCCUCUGCUAUGUCAUGAAGGUUGCCAGGGAAGUGGGGGAAAACCAGCAGUUACAGGCCUCACCCAGGUCCCAUGCAGCCCAAAAGGCGAGUCCCACUCCCACUGUGCACCCGCCAACAGCACUGAGUUCAUUUCCAGGCAGCGGUGAACAGGAAUGAGAACUUGCCUCAGACUACCAGCCUCCUGGCUGAUAAAGCAAGCAGAACUUUCAGGUUUCACACCUCCCCACCUCCCCCAGCUUCUGUGCCAUGUCAGCACACCCAAUUCACCCUCCCCCCUACAAGUUCUGUCCAGGAAUCUUUGCGUUCGGUUGAAACUGUUACAAAGUUCAUUUGAGGUUUCCUUCCCUCUGCGGUCUUUUCCCAGUUCCUCUGGCAGCCCUCCUCAAGGACCUCUGUGAGACAAAGUCAGAAAUGACUUCACUGGAGACCAAGAGAGCCCACAGAGCUCUUCCUGCUGCUUCUUCUACCCUUGUACUCACUCGGCUCUCUAAAUUUGUCUCAGCUCCAGACACGUGGGAAGAUUACCUUUCUCUGAUGUCUUGGGAUUGAACUGAGCUAUGUGGCUAGUUACAGGCCAAUAGGCUGUUAGCAGAUGUGACAUCUAACACAACUAGGCUGCAGUUUGAAAUAAAUACCAGUGCACAGCCUCCAGAAUUCCUCCCCUGCUAAGGUGACUGAGAAGACCUCAGCUGAGAUGGUGGGAAAAAAAAAUAUUCAAGCAGCUUGGAUAACGAAGUUCCUAAAUGGAAGAACAUUGUCCCAGAGAGUCACUUGAACCCAGAAUAGAUUUACGUGAUCAGACAAUAAACCUCUAUGACACCCUGAGUUUAUUUUGUUUUUUGAUUUUGUUACUGCAGCAUAACUCAACAUACCCUGACUGGUAUAGUCAUGGAGAUUAUCAUCAGGAUCUCCUAUGCUCCUGCAUAUGACACAGCCAGAGUUCUGCAGACAUUUAACUUUGGGCAUCUAAAUAUCAUAAAUGC
rnacentral:lncRNA from 1 species